rnacentral:rRNA from 1 species
GCAGUAGCCGCGGUAAUACAGAGGGUGCGAGCGUUAAUCGGAUUUACUGGGCGUAAAGCGUGCGUAGGCGGCUUUUUAAGUCGGAUGUGAAAUCCCUGAGCUUAACUUAGGAAUUGCAUUCGAUACUGGGAAGCUAGAGUAUGGGAGAGGAUGGUAGAAUUCCAGGUGUAGCGGUGAAAUGCGUAGAGAUCUGGAGGAAUACCGAUGGCGAAGGCAGCCAUCUGGCCUAAUACUGACGCUGAGGUACGAAAGCAUGGGGAGCAAACAGGAUUAGAUACCCGCGUAGUCCCUGUCUCUUAUAC